rnacentral:rRNA from 1 species
CCUACGGGAGGCAGCAGUGGGGAAUAUUGGACAAUGGGCGCAAGCCUGAUCCAGCCAUACCGCGUGUGUGAAGAAGGCCUUCGGGUUGUAAAGCACUUUAAGUAAGGAAGAAAAGAGUAUUGUUAAUACCAAUACUCCGUGACAUUACUUACAGAAUAAGGACCGGCUAAUUCCGUGCCAGCAGCCGCGGUAAUACGGAAGGUCCAAGCGUUAAUCGGAAUUACUGGGCGUAAAGCGCGCGUAGGUGGUUUAUUAAGUUGGGUGUGAAAGCCCCGGGCUCAACCUGGGAACUGCAUCCAAAACUGAUUCACUAGAGUACGAAAGAGGAAAGUAGAAUUCACAGUGUAGCGGUGGAAUGCGUAGAUAUUGUGAAGAAUACCGAUGGCGAAGGCAGCUUUCUGGUUCUGUACUGACACUGAGGUGCGAAAGCGUGGGUAGCGAACAGGAUUAGAUACCCUGGUAGUCCACGCCGUAAACGAUGACAACUAGCUGUUGGGAAGCUAUGCUUUUCAGUGGCGCAGCUAACGUCUUAAGUUGUCCGCCUGGGGAGUACGGCCGCAAGGUUAAAACUCAAAUGAAUUGACGG